rnacentral:rRNA from 1 species
UACGUAGGGUCCGAGCGUUGUCCGGAAUUAUUGGGCGUAAAGAGCUCGUAGGCGGUCUGUCGCGUCGGCUGUGAAAACACGGGGCUCAACUCCGCGCCUGCAGUCGAUACGGGCAGACUAGAGUUCGGUAGGGGAGACUGGAAUUCCUGGUGUAGCGGUGAAAUGCGCAGAUAUCAGGAGGAACACCGGUGGCGAAGGCGGGUCUCUGGGCCGAAACUGACGCUGAGGAGCGAAAGCGUGGGGAGCGAACAGG